rnacentral:rRNA from 1 species
AGAGUUUGAUCCUGGCUCAGAUUGAACGCUGGCGGCAGGCCUAACACAUGCAAGUCGAACGGUAACAUUUCUAGCUUGCUAGAAGAUGACGAGUGGCGGACGGGUGAGUAAUGCUUGGGAACUUGCCUUUGCGAGGGGGAUAACAGUUGGAAACGACUGCUAAUACCGCAUAAUGUCUACGGACCAAACGGGGCUUAGGCUCCGGCGCAAAGAGAGGCCCAAGUGAGAUUAGCUAGUUGGUAAGGUAAUGGCUUACCAAGGCAACGAUCUCUAGCUGUUCUGAGAGGAAGAUCAGCCACACUGGAACUGAGACACGGUCCAGACUCCUACGGGAGGCAGCAGUGGGGAAUAUUGCACAAUGGGGGAAACCCUGAUGCAGCCAUGCCGCGUGUGUGAAGAAGGCCUUCGGGUUGUAAAGCACUUUCAGUUGUGAGGAAAAGUUAGUAGUUAAUACCUGCUAGCCGUGACGUUAACAACAGAAGAAGCACCGGCUAACUCCGUGCCAGCAGCCGCGGUAAUACGGAGGGUGCGAGCGUUAAUCGGAAUUACUGGGCGUAAAGCGCACGCAGGCGGUUUGUUAAGCUAGAUGUGAAAGCCCCGGGCUCAACCUGGGAUGGUCAUUUAGAACUGGCAGACUAGAGUCUUGGAGAGGGGAGUGGAAUUCCAGGUGUAGCGGUGAAAUGCGUAGAUAUCUGGAGGAACAUCAGUGGCGAAGGCGACUCCCUGGCCAAAGACUGACGCUCAUGUGCGAAAGCGUG